UACGUAGGUGGCAAGCGUUAUCCGGAAUUAUUGGGCGUAAAGAGCGCGCAGGUAGUUAAUUAAGUCUGAUGUGAAAGCCCACGGCUUAACCGUGGAGGGUCAUUGGAAACUGGUUGACUUGAGUGCAGAAGAGGGAAGUGGAAUUCCAUGUGUAGCGGUGAAAUGCGUAGAGAUAUGGAGGAACACCAGUGGCGAAGGCGGCUUCCUGGUCUGCAACUGACACUGAGGCGCGAAAGCGUGGGGAGCAAACAGG
rnacentral:rRNA from 1 species